rnacentral:rRNA from 1 species
UACACAUGCAGUCGAGCGGUAGCACAGAGAGCUUGCUCUCGGGUGACGAGCGGCGGACGGGUGAGUAAUGUCUGGGAAACUGCCUGAUGGAGGGGGAUAACUACUGGAAACGGUAGCUAAUACCGCAUAAUGUCGCAAGACCAAAGUGGGGGACCUUCGGGCCUCAUGCCAUCAGAUGUGCCCAGAUGGGAUUAGCUAGUAGGUGGGGUAACGGCUCACCUAGGCGACGAUCCCUAGCUGGUCUGAGAGGAUGACCAGCCACACUGGAACUGAGACACGGUCCAGACUCCUACGGGAGGCAGCAGUGGGGAAUAUUGCACAAUGGGCGCAAGCCUGAUGCAGCCAUGCCGCGUGUGUGAAGAAGGCCUUCGGGUUGUAAAGCACUUUCAGCGGGGAGGAAGGCGUUAAGGUUAAUAACCUUGUCGAUUGACGUUACCCGCAGAAGAAGCACCGGCUAACUCCGUGCCAGCAGCCGCGGUAAUACGGAGGGUGCAAGCGUUAAUCGGAAUUACUGGGCGUAAAGCGCACGCAGGCGGUCUGUCAAGUCGGAUGUGAAAUCCCCGGGCUCAACCUGGGAACUGCAUUCGAAACUGGCAGGCUAGAGUCUUGUAGAGGGGGGUAGAAUUCCAGGUGUAGCGGUGAAAUGCGUAGAGAUCUGGAGGAAUACCGGUGGCGAAGGCGGCCCCCUGGACAAAGACUGACGCUCAGGUGCGAAAGCGUGGGGAGCAAACAGGAUUAGAUACCCUGGUAGUCCACGCCGUAAACGAUGUCGAUUUGGAGGUUGUGCCCUUGAGGCGUGGCUUCCGGAGCUAACGCGUUAAAUCGACCGCCUGGGGAGUACGGCCGCAAGGUUAAAACUCAAAUGAAUUGACGGGGGCCCGCACAAGCGGUGGAGCAUGUGGUUUAAUUCGAUGCAACGCGAAGAACCUUACCUGGUCUUGACAUCCACAGAACUUUCCAGAGAUGGAUUGGUGCCUUCGGGAACUGUGAGACAGGUGCUGCAUGGCUGUCGUCAGCUCGUGUUGUGAAAUGUUGGGUUAAGUCCCGCAACGAGCGCAACCCUUAUCCUUUGUUGCCAGCGGUUAGGCCGGGAACUCAAAGGAGACUGCCAGUGAUAAACUGGAGGAAGGUGGGGAUGACGUCAAGUCAUCAUGGCCCUUACGACCAGGGCUACACACGUGCUACAAUGGCAUAUACAAAGAGAAGCGACCUCGCGAGAGCAAGCGGACCUCAUAAAGUAUGUCGUAGUCCGGAUUGGAGUCUGCAACUCGACUCCAUGAAGUCGGAAUCGCUAGUAAUCGUAGAUCAGAAUGCUACGGUGAAUACGUUCCCGGGCCUUGUACACACCGCCCGUCACACCAUGGGAGUGGGUUGCAAAAGAAGUAGGUAGCUUAACCUUCGGGAGGGCGCUACCACUUGGAU